GAUGAACGCUGGCGGCGUGCUUAACACAUGCAAGUCGAACGGAAAGGCCUCUGCUUGCAGGGGUACUCGAGUGGCGAACGGGCGAGUAACACGUGGGUGAUCUGCCCUGCACUUCGGGAUAAGCCUGGGAAACUGGGUCUAAUACCGGAUAGGACAAUGGUUUGGAUGCUGUUGUGGAAAGUUUUUCGGUGUGGGAUGAGCUCGCGGCCUAUCAGCUUGUUGGUGGGGUAAUGGCCUACCAAGGCGUCGACGGGUAGCCGGCCUGAGAGGGUGUACGGCCACAUUGGGACUGAGAUACGGCCCAGACUCCUACGGGGGGCAGCAGUGGGGAAUAUUGCACAAUGGGCGCAAGCCUGAUGCAGCGACGCCGCGUGGGGGAUGACGGCCUUCGGGUUGUAAACUCCUUUCGCUAGGGACGAAGCGUUUUUGUGACGGUACCUGGAGAAGAAGCACCGGCUAACUACGUG
rnacentral:rRNA from 1 species